rnacentral:rRNA from 1 species
UACGUAGGGUGCGAGCGUUGUCCGGAAUUAUUGGGCGUAAAGGGCUCGUAGGCGGUUUGUCGCGUCGGCCGUGAAAACUUGGGGCUUAACCCCAAGCUUGCGGUCGAUACGGGCAGACUUGAGUUCGGCAGGGGAGACUGGAAUUCCUGGUGUAGCGGUGAAAUGCGCAGAUAUCAGGAGGAACACCGGUGGCGAAGGCGGGUCUCUGGGCCGAUACUGACGCUGAGGAGCGAAAGCGUGGGGAGCGAACAGG